rnacentral:rRNA from 1 species
GACGAACGCUGGCGGCGUGCCUAAUACAUGCCAGUAGAACGCACAGUUUAUACUGUAGCUUGCUACACCAUAGACUGUGAGUUGCGAACGGGUGAGUAACGCGUAGGUAACCUGCCUGGGAGCGGGGGAGAACUAUUGGAAACGAUAGCUAAUACAGCAUCAUAUUGAUUAUUGCAUGAUAAUUGAUUGAAAGAUGCUAUUGCAUCACUACCAGAUGGACCUGCAGUGUAUUAGCUAGUAGGAGAGGUAACGGCUAACCUAGGCGACGAUAGAUACCCGACCAGCGAGGGUGAUCGGCCACACUGGGACGAGGACACGGCCCAGAAUCCUACGGGAGGCAGCAGUAGGGAAUCUCCGGCAAUGGACGAAAGUCGGGACGAUGCACAACGGGGGAGUGAAGAAUGUUGUCGGGUCGUAAAGCUCUGUUAUAAGAGAAGAACGUGUGUGAGAGUGGAAAGUGCACACUGUGACGGUAGCUGAACAGAAAGGGACGGCUAACUACGUG